ensembl:lncRNA
AAAGUAGCUUAGUGUUCAGCCUCUAAGACAGUAGCUUAGCAUUUAGCCUCUAGGACAGUAACUGAGCUUUCAUCUUCUAGGACAGUAGCUUAGCUUUCAUCUUCUAGGACAGUAGCUUAGCUUUCAUCUUCUAGGACAGUAACUUAGCUUUCAUCUUCUAGGACAGUAACUUAGCUUUCAUCUUCUAGGACAGUAACUUAGCUUUCAUCUNCUAGGACAGUAACUUAGCUUUCAUCUUCUAGGACAGUAACUUAGCUUUCAUCUUCUAGGACAGUAACUUAGCUUUCAUCUUCUAGGACAGUAACUGAGCUUUCAUCUUCUAGGACAGUAACUUAGCUUUCAGCCUCCUUACAUCCAGGGAGAUGUUUCAAUACUCUACAUUGGUUUACUUUCUUCGUUUCCUUUCUUUCACAAUCACUGAUUAAGGGACUGGAUAAGAUCCCUCUUAUAUCAUGCAGGAUCAGUCAUCAUGGAGGAAAGGAAUCCAUCUCAACUGAGAAUGAAAGACUUCUGAAGCACCAUGUGGUCCAUAUCAGCGUAUCUGCUUACACAGGUAGAACCAGAGUGUUAGGAUGACACAGUACAACCCGGCCGUCAGAUGUCAUACCUACAAAGCCAACGAAGCACAAACACAUCUCCAACCACCACCCGUCUACCCGACAGACAAAUAAGGGCUGUGGACAUGGAUAAGAUUGCAUGGAAAAGAAGAGGAAGCAAGAGGAUGAAGAGGAAGAAAGCUGACUGGCAUCAUGAGCCUUCAAUGUCAACUCCUGCAGACAGCAAUGUCUCCUGGCCUCCUCCUUAA